rnacentral:tRNA from 1 species
GUUUUUAUAGUUUAAGUUUAGAAUAAAGUCCUGAAGAGACUUGGGAGAAAUAUCUGAAGACA